UGGAAGUAAAAGUCGUAACAAGGUCUCCGUUGGUGAACCAGCGGAGGGAUCAUUACCGAGUUUACAACUCCCAAACCCAAUGUGAACGUUACCAAACUGUUGCCUCGGCGGGGUCACGCCCCGGGUGCGUCGCAGCCCCGGAACCAGGCGCCCGCCGGAGGAACCAACCAAACUCUUUCUGUAGUCCCCUCGCGGACGUAUUUCUUACAGCUCUGAGCAAAAAUUCAAAAUGAAUCAAAACUUUCAACAACGGAUCUCUUGGUUCUGGCAUCGAUGAAGAACGCAGCGAAAUGCGAUAAGUAAUGUGAAUUGCAGAAUUCAGUGAAUCAUCGAAUCUUUGAACGCACAUUGCGCCCGCCAGUAUUCUGGCGGGCAUGCCUGUCCGAGCGUCAUUUCAACCCUCGAACCCCUCCGGGGGAUCGGCGUUGGGGAUCGGGACCCCUCACACGGGUGCCGGCCCCGAAAUACAGUGGCGGUCUCGCCGCAGCCUCUCCUGCGCAGUAGUUUGCACAACUCGCACCGGGAGCGCGGCGCGUCCACGUCCGUAAAACACCCAACUUUCUGAAAUGUUGACCUCGGAUCAGGUAGGAAUACCCGCUGAACUUAAGCAUAUCAAUAAGCGGAGGA
rnacentral:rRNA from 1 species